UUGUCUCUCUUGAGUGGAUCCUGAGUACGACGGAGCACGUGAAAUUCCGUCGGAAUCUGGGAGGACCAUCUCCUAAGGCUAAAUACUCUCUAGUGACCGAUAGUGAACCAGUACCGUGAGGGAAAGGUGAAAAGCACCCCGGAAGGGGAGUGAAAUAGAACCUGAAACCGUGUGCUUACAAGUAGUCAGAGCCCGUUAAUGGGUGAUGGCGUGCCUUUUGUAGAAUGAACCGGCGAGUUACGAUUUGAUGCAAGGUUAAGCAGUAAAUGUGGAGCCGUAGCGAAAGCGAGUCUGAAUAGGGCGUUUAGUAUUUGGUCGUAGACCCGAAACCAGGUGAUCUACCCUUGGUCAGGUUGAAGUUCAGGUAACACUGAAUGGAGGACCGAACCGACUUACGUUGAAAAGUGAGCGGAUGAACUGAGGGUAGCGGAGAAAUUCCAAUCGAACCUGGAGAUAGCUGGUUCUCUCCGAAAUAGCUUUAGGGCUAGCCUCAAGUGAUGAUUAUUGGAGGUAGAGCACUGUUUGGACGAGGGGCCCCUCUCGGGUUACCGAAUUCAGACAAACUCCGAAUGCCAAUUAAUUUAACUUGGGAGUCAGAACAUGGGUGAUAAGGUCCGUGUUCGAAAGGGAAACAGCCCAGACCACCAGCUAAGGUCCCAAAAUAUAUGUUAAGUGGAAAAGGAUGUGGCGUUGCCCAGACAACUAGGAUGUUGGCUUAGAAGCAGCCAUCAUUUAAAGAGUGCGUAAUAGCUCACUAGUCGAGUGACACUGCGCCGAAAAUGUACCGGGGCUAAACAUGUUACCGAAGCUGUGGAUUGUCCUUUGGACAAUGGUAGGAGAGCGUUCUAAGGGCGUUGAAGCAUGA
rnacentral:rRNA from 1 species